GACGAACGCUGGCGGCGUGCUUAACACAUGCAAGUCGAACGGAAAGGCCCCUUUGGGGGUACUCGAGUGGCGAACGGGUGAGUAACACGUGAGUAACCUGCCCUUGACUUCGGGAUAACUUCAGGAAACUGGGGCUAAUACCGGAUAGGAAUCCUUGCUGCAUGGUGGGGGUUGGAAAGCUUCGGCGGUUUUGGAUGGACUCGCGGCUUAUCAGCUUGUUGGUGGGGUAGUGGCUUACCAAGGCUUUGACGGGUAGCCGGCCUGAGAGGGCGACCGGCCACAUUGGGACUGAGAUACGGCCCAGACUCCUACGGGAGGCAGCAGUGGGGAAUAUUGCACAAUGGGCGGAAGCCUGAUGCAGCAACGCCGCGUGCGGGAUGACGGCCUUCGGGUUGGAAACCGCGUUCAGCAGGGGCGAAGCUUGUGGUGACGGUACCUGCAGAAGAAGCACCGGCUAACUAGGUG
rnacentral:rRNA from 1 species